rnacentral:lncRNA from 1 species
UUGAAUACUCAAACGGCAAAAACAAAACAAAAUCCAAACUUUCUUCUGUUCAAACCCAAACGCUACUCUCACACACAAUUCACUCUCACUCUCAGACUCUCUCCCAAAACACCAAACCCCCCAAUAAAACCCAUUCACCCGUACCCCCAAUUCUCUCAAAAAUCACAAACCACAACACUUUCACAAAAUACAACAAACUCUUUGAAAAUUUUUGUUUUCAACCGUUUCACCUCUUUUCUUCUGUUGCCUUUUCCAACCUUUCUGUCUCGGAAUCCAUUUUUUCACCACAACCCUUCUUUCUAAGCAAUGGAAUUCACUCUUCUAUUCACUCAACUUAUACGAUUGGAUGUUAACAACUUCUUGAAAGAAGACCCAACCUCUUUCGAUAAGGUUUUUCGUUCUCUCUCUAUUGAAACUUUCUUCUUUGCAAUGAUUUUUCCAAUUUUUGUGUUGUUCUCUUUUUAAUUUGUUGUUAAUUAUAUUAUGAUGAUGAUUUAGGGUUUUGAAUUUCUGUGUUUUCUCCCUUUUCUGUUAUGCUUUGCUUUUCUUUGAAUCAGAUUUUGGGUUUGUGUUCUUAUCUCUUGUUAAAUAUGUUUGGUGCACCAGCUGUGAAUCUUUGCACCACAAAGCAAACCCAACACAACAAAACGAAACAAAACCCUUUUCUUUAAUCUUCUAAAAAUUGAAUCUUUUCAUCUACCCAAUUCUUAAACCGUUUUUUUUGUUCUGGAUUUUUGUUAAAUUCUAAAAAGAUCUGAUUUUUAUUCUUGAUUUGUUUGAAACGUGUUGUUUCACUAUUUGGGUCUGAUUGAAAUUGUUGUUUGGUUUUGAUAAUGAGGAAACGAGAGAGGGAAAAUCAUUGUGGUGUUUGUGGGCACUAUCACAAACACAAGAAGGUGACCUGUUUCAAUUUUUUCACAACUAUUGAGUAGAUCUUCUUUUUCAGAUGCUUAGAGUAUGUUUCUCAAACUCACAUUAAUGUCAUUUCAUCCAUCAUCAUUUUAUGCUUAUUUUAUUUUUUCAGUUACAUGACAUGAUAAUAUAAAGUUGAAAUUGUCCAAUUUAAAUAGGUUUAUUUGUUUCUAGAAAAAAAAAAUUAAUUCUUUAUAUUUUAAGAUUUAUGUGCAUAAUUCAUUUAUUUUUAUAUAAUCAAUUUUGCUUUUUAUUCCCACAAAGACCUCAUCUUCCUCUCAAGAGGAAUUUUUUUUAUCAUUUUAAGUUGUUUUUUAGAUAAUAUUUUUCUUAAAUCAAAUAUAUUGGUGACACUAUUGCAAGUGUCUGCAUAAAUAUAUUUAUUUCGUUAAAAAAAGAUGAAGAAACAUGGUGGCUACUGAAUUUUCAUUCACCUAGCAGUGUCAAACUUUG